rnacentral:tRNA from 1 species
GCCUUCUUAGCUCAUCUGGUAGAGCAACUGAUUUGUAAUCAGUAGGUGGCUGGUCCGAGUCCGGCAGAAGGCACCA